rnacentral:snoRNA from 1 species
GGCCUCCUAACUGAACAGAAAAGGAGGAAGAGUAAACCUACCUCAUUUACACUUCAGCCCAGGUGCUGUUCCUGGUCGAUAUUGCAAAUUGGGGACACAGUG